AAAAGUACAAAACUAGAAGAGGUAGAUUUACCUCAAGAUAUAGAUCUACUGAAUAAAUGGACAAUUGCUAAAGUUGAAUUAAAAAUCAUAUAUGAAUAUGGCUUUUAAUAUAUUAAAAAUAAAAAUAAAAAUUAGAGAUUAGAGAUAGAUAUUAGAGAUUUUUAUUAUAUGGUCUGGUAGGCUGAGUGGCAUACCCCAGCCUAAGAGAUCCUGUAAAUGGUAUCAGAGCCUGUGAAUUUUCAUAGUAAAUAUGUUAGGUGAAGUGAUGAUGCUUAGCAUAGAUAUAAGACUCUUCCAACUAUGGAUAUGGGAGAAGUAAGUACUAAAAGUACAAAACUCGAAGAGGUAGAUUUACCUCAAGAUAUGGAUCUACUGAAUAAAUGGACUAUUCCUAAAGUUGAAUUAAAAACCAUAUAUGAAUAUGGAUUUUUUGAUAAAAUAAAACAUAAACAGAUUAUUAAAACAACUGAACAAUCUCUUGCUUUAAAUGCUGAUGAACAGACUCUUCAACUCCUAAAUAAGCGUGAUAUUGAUAUUUUUAAACGUAAUUAUAAUUAUAUGCAUAUUGGCUUAGUACAAAUUGCUUUUCGGCCUCUAACUCUAAAGGGUCUUCCCGAAAUAUUUUUAGUAGCUUUGCGUGAUGCU
rnacentral:lncRNA from 1 species